GCCUCAACUUUUGCAAGUAUUGCUUUGGCUGAAAUACAAGGAAAAACUGGUUUCAGGAAUGAGGAAAAUGCAACCCAGCUAUAUAUAUUUCUCACUAUUACAAAACAUGAGGCUGAACAAGGGGUUUCUGUGCCUGUUUCUGUGCUACAGGGUAGAGGUUUGCAGUGGUGUCACACACAGCUGCCAGCAGGUGUUGCAGCAGGUGACUACGUAAAGCUAUUCACUCAACUCCAGCACUCCAGUUACUUGCUCUUUACAGCAAGGAAAGCAGAGAAAACAAAGAGGAUGUUAGCUUUAACUUCAAAGCCCUCAUACCUCCAGCUUCAGCUCUUUACCCAAGGCAGUGCAGCCCAGAAAAGCAGCAGCAGGAUCCCAGCAUACAGAAUUAAGAAACCACAAGACUGGGAAUCACAGAAUCGUUUAGGUUGGAAGGGACCUCUGGAGAUCAUCUAGUCCAACC
rnacentral:lncRNA from 1 species